CUUGCUGUCCACUGCAAAGUUGCCGCUUGCCACUUCCUUAUUAUUCGGUUUUCGUCUCCAGGCUGCAAGUCCAAGGAGAGGAGCAAGGGAGACAAGUGAGUCUAUUGUGUGAGUGCUUGCCCGGCAGCAGGCACCUGGCGACGGUCGAGAGGGGGAGAUGUGCGCCACUCAAGAGAAGGCUGCCAAAGAUCAGCCAGAGCCAGGCGGCUGAGCAGUGCUUUGGAAGGUGGAAGCAAGAAACAGAGAGUUCACCAAGCAUCAGCUGAAGGAUGCCUGUCGAAACAAAGAUGCCAUCAGCCAAUCACUGAGUGCUUUGCGAUUCUUCCUCUGCUGCCUGUUGCAGAAUCAGCUUUCUGGGCUCUGCAAUGAAUUAAUUUUCCUUCAUCUUUCAUGCAAUAUUCUAUCAAAACCAUUUCUUCGUGUUGCUUUGAAUCUGGAUUGCACAAAAUUAAUUGCCAGGUGUGUAUUAUAAAAUGAAAAUAAAUACAGUCUCUUGACUCGCAUAUUUCU
rnacentral:lncRNA from 1 species